ensembl:misc_RNA predicted gene, 27793
UAGAGCAGAGACAGCUGGGGGUUACCUGACACAUUAAGAUUCUGGUGCUGAAAAGCAGAACGUGUGACCUUGCUCACUC